AUGCUAGUCGCACGAGUUCAGACUCGUGGCGAAUAGCUCAGUAACACGUGGCCAAACUACCCUUCGGAGCACGAUACCCUCGGGAAACUGAGGCUAAUAGUGCAUACCACAAUCCAGCUGGAAUGAGGAUUGUGCCAAACGCUCCGGCGCCGAAGGAUGUGGCUGCGGCCGAUUAGGUAGACGGUGGGGUAACGGCCCACCGUGCCAAUAAUCGGUACGGGUCAUGAGAGUGAGAACCCGGAGACGGAAUCUGAGACAAGAUUCCGGGCCCUACGGGGCGCAGCAGGCGCGAAACCUUUACACUGCACGCCAGUGCGAUAAGGGAAUCCCAAGUGCGCAGGCAUAGAGCCUGCGCUUUUGUCCACCGUAGGGAGGUGGACGAAUAAGGGCUGGGCAAGACCGGUGCCAGCCGCCGCGGUAAUACCGGCAGCCCGAGUGAUGGCCGAUCUUAUUGGGCCUAAAGCGUCCGUAGCUGGCCGCACAAGUCCAUCGGAAAAUCCACCCGCCCAACGGGUGGGCGUCCGGUGGAAACUGUGUGGCUUGGGACCGGAAGGCGCGACGGGUACGUCC
rnacentral:rRNA from 1 species